CGGGGGGGGCAAGCGUUGUUCGGAAUUACUGGGCGUAAAGGGCUCGUAGGCGGCCAGCUAAGUCAGACGUGAAAUCCCUCGGCUUAACCGGGGAACUGCGUCUGAUACUGGAUGGCUCGAGUUUGGGAGAGGGAUGCGGAAUUCCAGGUGUAGCGGUGAAAUGCGUAGAUAUCUGGAGGAACACCGGUGGCGAAGGCGGCAUCCUGGACCAACACUGACGCUGAGGAGCGAAAGCCAGGGGAGCAAACGGGAUUAGAUACCCCGGUAGUCCUGGCCCUAAACGAUGAAUGCUUGGUGUGACGGGUAUCGAUCCCUGUCGUGCCGAAGCUAACGCAUUAAGCAUUCCGCCUGGGGAGUACGGUCGCAAGGCUG
rnacentral:rRNA from 1 species